rnacentral:rRNA from 1 species
AUACGGAGGGUGCAAGCGUUAAUCGGAAUUACUGGGCGUAAAGCGUACGUAGGCGGUUUGCUAAGUCAGAUGUGAAAGCCCCGGGCUUAACCUGGGAACUGCAUUUGAUACUGGCAGACUAGAGUAUGAUAGAGGGGGGUAGAAUUCCUGGUGUAGCGGUGAAAUGCGUAGAUAUCAGGAGGAAUACCAGUGGCGAAGGCGGCCCCCUGGAUCAAUACUGACGCUGAGGUACGAAAGCGUGGGGAGCGAACAGGAUUAGAAACCCUAGUAGUCC